rnacentral:rRNA from 1 species
UCCUGGCUCAGGAUGAACGCUGGCGGCGUGCCUAACACAUGCAAGGUCGAACGGGGUGUCUGAUCUUCGGACUGGACACUUAGUGGCGGACGGGUGAGUAACGCGUGGGUAACCUGCCUCAUACAGGGGGAUAGCAGUUGGAAACGACUGAUAAUACCGCAUAAGCGCACAGUACCGCAUGGUACAGUGUGAAAAACUCCGGUGGUAUGAGAUGGACCCGCGUCUGAUUAGCUUGUUGGCGGGGUAACGGCCCACCAAGGCGACGAUCAGUAGCCGGCCUGAGAGGGUGAACGGCCACAUUGGGACUGAGACACGGCCCAAACUCCUACGGGAGGCAGCAGUGGGGAAUAUUGCACAAUGGGGGAAACCCUGAUGCCAGCGACGCCGCGUGAAGGAUGAAGUAUUUCGGUAUGUAAACUUCUAUCAGCAGGGAAGAUGAUGACGGUACCUGACUAAGAAGCCCCGGCUAACUACGUGCCAGCCGCAGC